GACGAACGCUGGCGGCGUGCCUAAUACAUGCAAGUCGAGCGGACUGACUGGGAGCUUGCUCUUGUUCGGUCAGCGGCGGACGGGUGAGUAACACGUGGGCAACCUGCCCGCAAGACCGGGAUAACUCCGGGAAACCGGAGCUAAUACCGGAUAACACCGAAGACCGCAUGGUCUUUGGUUGAAAGGCGGCGCAAGCUGCCACUUGCGGAUGGGCCCGCGGCGCAUUAGCUAGUUGGUGAGGUAACGGCUCACCAAGGCGACGAUGCGUAGCCGGCCUGAGAGGGUGACCGGCCACACUUGGAAUGAGACACGGCCCAGACUCCUACGGGAGGCAGCAGUAGGGAAACUUCCGACAUGGGCGAAAGCCUGACGGCGCGACGCCGCGUGAGCGAAGAAGGCCUUCGGGUCGUAAAGCUCUGUUGUGAGGGACGAAGGAGCGCCGUUUGAAGAAGGCGGCGCGGUGACGGUACCUCACGAGGAAGCCCCGGCUAACUACGUG
rnacentral:rRNA from 1 species